rnacentral:misc_RNA from 1 species
AUGAAUGCAAGGGUGCUCUUUUUAGAGACCCGACCCAUUUCAUCUAUACACCGUGAACACACUUCGUUUUUACACCAUUUUAAACUCAAGUAAUAAGAAUGUAACUAGUCUCCUAGCGGAGCAUAAAACAAUA